rnacentral:lncRNA from 13 species
AUAGCCUGCAAAGAUAAAGAAUCGAUUAGUUGCGAUCAUAUAAGACUACGAACUACAUAAUCAUAGUCCACUAUCCAAGAAAAACGAGAGUUUUGGCAAAAUGAAAUUCGUAAUUUUCGCUAUUUUCGUUAUGAUUGCUAUGGCUAUGGCUGCUCCCGAAACAAAAGGAGCAUGCAGUGCUCUGAAUAAACCUUGCCAAACUUUUCAAGAUUGCUGCCGUGCUUUAAGAUGUAGAGAAGGCUCGUGCGUGAAAAUCAACGGUAUAGAACUACCUGGCAUUCCCGAUACAAGACCAAUGAAUCCCUAGAAUCCCUGGGUCAUAUCUACCAAAUGUGCUAAAGGAAUAUUGAAUAUUACUUGGAACUUCUUUAUAUCUGAUGAAGAAUAUUAUUUUGUAUCUUUUCCUAUUUAACCUUGGCGGUAUUUUUCCUUCCUUACUUACUUAUAAAAAAGAACAAAAUAUUUAAAUAAAAACUUUUAAGAGCAAA